GCAGGCUUUGAAGUCCUGCAUAGUCAAUUGCCAUACACAUAGGGCUAACAGCAUGUAGUUUUAGUGGCAGUGUAGUCAGAGAGUCAAUUUCCUGGCCCUUCUUCAUUUUGAGGAUCUUCUCUUUUUCUUUCUCUCUUUGUUGGACAAGUCAGCACCCAUUGGAUUCUUUUUCUAUCUGGAGAUAGAAACCCUUUGUCUCAAGUGGUUAAUCUAUCUGGUUCCUUCUAUUCACUAUUCUCCAGAUCUCUCCACAUCAACUGGCAAAUAUCCAAAGAUUCUGGAGCUGCUUGAACUGGACACUGGUCUUCUGAGAAUGGAAAGUUCUUUUCCCACUGAGCGCUAUUGAAGAGAGAAGGCAUUUUCUUCCUGAUGGAACAGUAUCUGUUGAAGUGACCUUGAGAGCAUGUCUUUCUGGAAAAGAUGGAUGAAUCAUUUAGAGAGAAUGAAAAGUUCUUUUCCCACUGAGAGCUAUUGAAGAAAGAAGGCAUCUUCUUCCUGAUGGAACAAUAUCUGUUGAAGUGACCUUGAGAGCAUGUCUUUCUGGAAAAGAUGGAUGAAUCAUUUAGAGGUGUGUUCUAAGA